rnacentral:ncRNA from 1 species
ACGAGAUUGAGCGAUAACAGGUCUGUGAUGCCCUUAGAUGUCCGGGGCUGCACGCGCGCUACAAUGGAAGAAUCAGCUGGCCUAUCCAUUGCCGAAAGGCAUUGGUAAACCGUUGAAACUCUUCCGUGACCGGGAUAGGGAAUUGUAAUUAUUUCCCUUGAACGAGGAAUUCCUAGUAAGUGUGAGUCAUCAGCUCACGCUGAUUACGUCCCUGCCAUUUGUACACACCGCCCGUCGCUGUCCGGGACUGAGCUGUCUCGAGAGGACUGCGGACUGCUGUAUCGAGGCCUUCGGGUCGCGGUAUGGCGGGAAACAGUUCAAUCGCAAUGGCUUGAACCGGGUAAAAGUCGUAACAAGGUAUCUGUAGGUGAACCUGCAGAUGGAUCAUCG